rnacentral:rRNA from 1 species
UUAAAUUUGUAAGGGCGUAUGGUGGAUGCCUUGGCAUUAGAAGCUGAUGAAGGACGUGACUAACUACGAUAUGCUUCGGGGAGAUGUACGUAAUCUUUGAUCCGGAGAUUUCCGAAUGGGGGAACCCACUAGUGGUAAUGCGCUAGUAUCACAUGGUGAAUAUAUAGCCAUGUAGAAAGCAACCCAGUGAACUGAAACAUCUUAGUAACUGGAGGAACAGAAAGAAAAAUCGAUUUCCUUAGUAGUGGCGAGCGAAAUGGAAAGAGCCCAAACCGACUUUAGAGUCGGGGUUGUAGGACCUCUGUAUAAGAGUAAGAAAAUCAUAACAUAGUUGAACUAUUCUGGAAAGUUUGGCGAAACAAGGUGAUAGCCCUGUAAACGAAAUGUUAUGGUCUCUUUGAGGUAUCCUGAGUACAGCGAGACACGUGGAAUCUUGUUGGAAUCUGCGGGGACCAUCCCGCAAGGCUAAAUACUCUCUAAUGACCGAUAGUGAACAAGUACCGUGAGGGAAAGGUGAAAAGAACCCCGGAAGGGGAGUGAAAUAGAAACUGAAACCGUAUGCUUACAAAAAGUUCGAGCCCGUUAAUGGGUGAGAGCGUGCCUUUUGCAGAAUGAACCGGCGAGUUAUUGUAUUAUGCAAGGUUAAGUCGAACAGAUGGAGCCGAAGCGAAAGCGAGUCUGAAUAGGGCGCUUAAGUAUGAUGCAAUAGACCCGAAACCGAGUGAUCUAGCCAUGAGCAGGUUGAAGUUGGGGUAAGACCCAAUGGAGGACCGAACCGAUAUGCCCGGAAACGCGUACGGAUGACUUGUGGUUAGCGGAGAAAUUCCAAACGAACUCGGAGAUAGCUGGUUCUCCCCGAAAUAGGUUUAGGCCUAGCCUUGAUUGAAUCUGCCCGGAGGUAGAGCACUGAAUGUGCGAUGGCGUCGUCUAGAUGUACUGAGUACAAUCAAACUCCGAAUGCUGGGUAGUACUAAUCAGGAGUCACUGUAUGGGUGAUAACGUCCAUACGGGAGAGGAAAACAAUCCGGAUCGCCAGCUAAGGUCCCAAAAUUUGUGUUAAGUGGGAAAGGAUGUAGAGUUGUCAAAACAGCUAGGAGGUUGGCUUAGAAGCAGCCACCAUUUAAAGAGUGCGUAAUAGCUCACUAGUCGAGUGACACUGCGCCGAAGAUGUACCGGGGCUAAACACAAUACCGAAGCUGCGGACUUGCAUGUAAGUGCAAGUGGUAGGGGAGCGUUCUAAGUGCUGAGAAGGUAGACCGUAAGGACUGCUGGAGCGCUUAGAAGUGAGAAUGCCGGUGUGAGUAACGAAAAUUGGGUGAGAAUCCCAUUCACCGUUUGACUAAGGGUUCCUGGGUAAAGUUCGUCUUCCCAGGGUAAGUCAGGACCUAAGAUGAGGCUGAAAAGCGUAGUCGAUGGACAACAGGUUGAUAUUCCUGUACCACCUAUAUGACUGAAGGAGUGACGGAGAAAGCUAACGAGGGCCAGUUAAUGGAUUCUGGUCUAAGUGCGUAGGCUAGUAUGUUGGCAAAUCCGCAAUACUAUAAUAGCUGAAACAUGAUGGGGAAGUGAGUCUUCGGAUGAGCGAACUCUCGUGAUGCUAUGCUUCCAAGAAAAGCUUCUAGGGCUAAUUGUAUAGGUGCCUGUACCGACAACCGACACAGGUGGUCAAGGAGAGUAUCCUAAGGUGAGCGAGAGAACUAUGGUUAAGGAACUCGGCAAAAUGACCCCGUAACUUCGGGAGAAGGGGUGGUCUAGCGAUAGACCCGCAGUGAAUAGGCCCAGGCAACUGUUUACCAAAAACACAGGUCUCUGCUAACACGAAAGUGGAUGUAUAGGGGCUGACGCCUGCCCAGUGCUGGAAGGUUAAAGAGAUUAGUUAGUAUGACGUAAGUCGAUAAUACGAAGCUUUGAACUGAAGCCCCAGUGAACGGCGGCCGUAACUAUAACGGUCCUAAGGUAGCGAAAUUCCUUGUCAGGUAAGUUCUGACCC